rnacentral:rRNA from 1 species
CGACGGUGAAGAGGAGCUUGCUCCUUGGAUCAGUGGCGAACGGGUGAGUAACACGUGAGCAAUCUGCCCUUGACUCUGGGAUAACUGCGGGAAACUGUAGCUAAUACCGGAUAUUACCUUGGAAGGCAUCUUCUGGGGUGGAAAGAAUUUUGGUCAAGGAUGAGCUCGCGGCCUAUCAGCUAGUUGGUGAGGUAAUGGCUCACCAAGGCGACGACGGGUAGCCGGCCUGAGAGGGUGACCGGCCACACUGGGACUGAGACACGGCCCAGACUCCUACGGGAGGCAGCAGUGGGGAAUAUUGCACAAUGGGCGCAAGCCUGAUGCAGCAACGCCGCGUGAGGGACGAAGGCCUUCGGGUUGUAAACCUCUUUUAGUAGGGAAGAAGCGACUGGGUUUUCCUGGGAGUGACGGUACCUGCAGAAAAAGCACCGGCUAACUACGUGCCAGCAGCCGCGGUAAUACGUAGGGUGCAAGCGUUGUCCGGAAUUAUUGGGCGUAAAGAGCUCGUAGGCGGUUUGUCGCGUCUGCUGUGAAAACCCGAGGCUCAACCUCGGGCCUGCAGUGGGUACGGGCAGACUAGAGUGCGGUAGGGGAGAUUGGAAUUCCUGGUGUAGCGGUGGAAUGCGCAGAUAUCAGGAGGAACACCAAUGGCGAAGGCAGAUCUCUGGGCCGUAACUGACGCUGAGGAGCGAAAGCAUGGGGAGCGAACAGGAUUAGAUACCCUGGUAGUCCAUGCCGU